rnacentral:sRNA from 1 species
AGCAGCCGCGGUAAUUCCAGCUCCAAUAGCGUAUAUUAAAGUUGUUGCAGUUAAAAAGCUCGUAGUUGAAUUUCGGGGUCAGCAGGUCGGUCGUGCCUACGGUAUGCACUGGCCUUGCUGAUUCCUCCCUCUUGAUGAGCCGUAAUGCCAUUAAUUUGGUGUUGCGGGGAAUCAGGACUGUUACUUUGAAAAAAUUAGAGUGUUUAAAGCAGGCAAGCGCUUGAAUACAUUAGCAUGGAAUAAUGAAAUAGGACGUUCGAUCCUAUUUUGUUGGUUUCUAGGAUUGACGUAAUGAUUAAUAGGGAUAGUUGGGGGCAUUAGUAUUCAAUUGUCAGAGGUGAAAUUCUUGGAUUUAUUGAAGACUAACUACUGCGAAAGCAUUUGCCAAGGAUGUUUUCAUUAAUCAAGAACGAAAGUUAGGGGAUCGAAGACGAUCAGAUACCGUCGUAGUCUUAACCAUAAACUAUGCCGACUAGGGAUCGGAUGAUGUUAAUUUUUUAAUGA